rnacentral:rRNA from 1 species
UACGUAGGUGGCAAGCGUUGUCCGGAAUUAUUGGGCGUAAAGGGCGCGUAGGCGGUUGGAUAAGUCUUGUGUGAAAUCUUCGGGCUCAACUCGAAGUCUGCACGAGAAACUAUCUGGCUUGAGUGUGGGAGAGGUGAGUGGAAUUCCUGGUGUAGCGGUGAAAUGCGUAGAUAUCAGGAGGAACACCUGUGGCGAAAGCGGCUCACUGGACCACAACUGACGCUGAGGCGCGAAAGCUAGGGGAGCAAACAGG